GACGAACGCUGGCGGCGUGCCUAAUACAUGCAAGUUGAGCGCUGAAGGUUGGUACUUGUACCAACUGGAUGAGCAGCGAACAGGUGAGUGACGCGUGGGGAAUCUGCCUUUGAGCGGGGGACAACAUUUGGAAACGAAUGCUAAUACCGCAUAAAAACUUUAAACACAAGUUUUAAGUUUGAAAGAUGCAAUUGCAUCACUCAAAGAUGAUCCCGCGUUGUAUUAGCUAGUUGGUGAGGUAAAGGCUCACCAAGGCGAUGAUACAUAGCCGACCUGAGAGGGUGAUCGGCCACAUUGGGACUGAGACACGGCCCAAACUCCUACGGGAGGCAGCAGUAGGGAAUCUUCGGCAAUGGACGAAAGUCUGACCGAGCAACGCCGCGGGAGUGAAGAAGGUUUUCGGAUCGUAAAACUCUGUUGGUAGAGAAGAACGUUGGUGAGAGUGGAAAGCUCAUCAAGUGACGGUAACUACCCAGAAAGGGACGGCUAACUACGUG
rnacentral:rRNA from 1 species